ensembl:lncRNA
UGCAAAGCUCUUUGUCAUCUUAGCAUUUGCUUUUGUGCUCUCAUUGAAUACACUGGUGGUGCCCAGCUGUCGCUGCUGGUGUCUGUGUUUUUCAGAAGCUGAAGGGUACCACUUCACAAUGUGGAAAUAUAUGUUUUCUUUUUCUUCCACAUAUUUUUAACAAUUAUUUUUGAAGGUAUCAUAUUUGUUUUUGAUGCUGCUGAUAAAACCGCUAAGCAAUAUUAUGCCUCUUCUAUUGUUGUAUCUGUAGUUGAUUGUAUCUUAAGAUUAUGUUUAAGUGAACUUGUUUUUCUGUUGCCCUUUCACUUCUCAAGUUUUUCACGGCGAUGUUUCAGUUCCAGAAUGAUGAAAAGAUUCUAAAAAGUUUUUAAAAAAUCCUAUUUCUAAUCCAGGCAGGUUUGCAAAUGUUGGUAGGAAGUUCAGUUGAGCUGAGUAAAAUCUAAAAUUCUUGAUUAGCAGCUUUAAUCCUAUCCUAGAAGGAACGCACAGAUAUCUCUCUGCACUUGUCAAAACCUCUACUGUAGUCAUCAUUUUAUUUAUUUUACUGCAUUAUUCAUGUCCUUUAAAUUCAAGUCUUCUACACAGAAGAGCCAUGUUUCAUUGUGCCACAGGCUGAGUAGGUGAGAUAAGCCCAUUUUCCUGUGAGAAGGUGUUUCAGUGGGAGAAAUAACCGGCUGAGGAAGAGAAUAAUUUCCUAAGUGGCAUUUCAUCUUUACUGAAUGUUUCCAUGCAUUUGUUACGCGACUGUCAACUCUCAAAUUCAAGAGUUCCAUCUAGAGGAAUCCUCUUUCAUGAACUUGGCUUUGCUGGCCUUUUAAUGUGUCACAUUCCCUGGCUGGAAAUAAAUUAAUUCAUUUUUUCAUCAAGGUUUUUUUUUUUCCUUUUUUUAGACUACUUACAAAUUCCAUUGUAGUACUACUUGCUGGUAGUCUUUGAAAUGACACUUUAACAUCCAAACGCCCUGCUUAUGCUUAAGACACUGUGCCCAUAUUUCUGCUUACCAAGCGUGCUGAAGAGAGAGAGAAAUUCUGGUCAUGUCUGACUGUCACUCAUGAAUUUGUAGCCUGGAAAGCUGCACGGCUCAGGUUUUCACAUCAACAGAAAUAAAAUAUAUCCUUAAGCAAAAAAUAUUUAGAGUGGCUGAACAGACUCCGGCAACAGCAAACCAUGUAAUAUUAUAGAAAAUAUUGAAUGCAUACAUAUCCACUGAGAACUAAUACUUCGGCAAAUGGACAUAAAUCUUUUUUCAGUUUGGAUUAGAAGUCGCUGUUUCCAGGUCUAUUCUUCUUAACCUGGAGAGAAAUUUGGAGAAAAAUCCUUCCGAAAUACAAAUGUGAGCAAUUUCCUUCUGGGGUUAGGAUUUAAAUUUCUGUUGACUUUUUAUCUAAUGAACCUUCUAGUACCUUCUGCUGCUCAGAUACUCCGCUUGAUCUUUUCUAAUAUUCCUUGUUUGUCAGAUGCAGAGAUAAAAUACCUUGGUAAUGUUUAAUAUUGAAGUCUCAUAUUUAAACUAUAUUAAAAUGAUCUUUGUAUUCAGAUGUGUGGAAUUUGCUUGAGACAGAAGCCAGCUUUCCAGAUGUCAGAGAGAAAAAUCUUCUCUCUCCAAACCAUGUUAGUUAGAGGGUAGCAUGGUACAACCAUACCAAAUGGGCUGAAGACAUUCCAUUCUUGGUGCUAGCUGGAGUUAGUGGCUGCUGUAGUUUUAUUUGCUCACAACAAAAUAGGACAGAACAAAACAGAACAAAAAAUACUUUAAGAUUUCCCGUGUCUUUGCUUUCCCAACCAAAAUUAACCACGCCUUCAGUAUUCAUGCUGAGUCUAACAGCACUCUUAUACUGUAUGAUCUUUAUUGGGUUAGCUGGGUUAGCAAAGCCUGCAAGGUUAAGUUCUGAGUGCUUUUUAAAGAAAACUCCUUGAUGUGUCCUUAAAAAAACAGUACAGCAAAGGUGAAGUGUAUGUGAUGCUACAGUAGAGAACUAAGAGCAAAUCACCGAGGCAAGUAAAGCUUUGCAGUUAAGUAAUCUGAGGAAUUCAGCAGAGGCAAAAUGUAAGUCACGGGCUGAAAGCGGACCUCUGCAGACAGAGAGGAGAGUUCGUGACUGCAAUGAGUUUUGAAGGGCAGAGGACAUAUCUUUGGAGGUAACACUAUUUGCACAGAAGCAUUUCUGAAGAAAAACUGUGAUCCAUAAAGAACUUCCCGAACAAGAUAACUGCAAAGCAGAUUUAAUUGUGAAUAUUUAUUGCUCUUCAAAACAAUGAGACUGCUUAAUAAUGGUGCAACAAGAACUGAAAAUCCAGGAAGCAGGCAGUGCAAAGUCUACAACAUCCUUAGUUUUACCCCCUGUGUCCAUAUGUGCUCACUAUCCAUCAGCUGAAGUUCCUAACUAGCUGUCAUAGGAAAUGACACUCCAGAGUGUGUACGUUUGCUUUUUGCAUGAUGGUAUUUUUACAGAAAUUUACCGUUCAAUGGGUUUAAUUUGUUGUCUAAACUGAUAACAACUCCAGCCCAGAGAAGCAUUUAAAUACACAUUAACAAUAAAGUUAAGCACACUUAAAAUGCUCUCUCAGUUGGAAUCCAAGACCUGAUCUUGAAUCCCUCAUGCCUAUGAUUCAGUGUAUAGAAGCCACAAAUUUAUUAGCACAGUAAAGAGCUGAUUGGUGCUAUCUGUGAAAUGCUCUUGUCUGAACUGCAGAGAAAUCUCAGGAAAAGCAGUAAAGGAACAGAAGAUGAUCUGAUGCUUCCAUAAAUAGAGUGUGGAAAAAGUCCUCAUAGAUUUUUUUUUCCAGUGGAAAGUGUAUAAUUUAACUGAUAUAGAAAUGUUUCACAGGACUGUGCUGCUCAAUUUAAAUAAAAGACAACAAAAAAAUACACAAUUCAAAUGUUUUCACCGUCAUAGGUAGUUAUAGCUUUUGUAUUAAAACAACUUCUAGGUUAGAAAUGUCAUUUUAAUGACAACAAGUGACAUAGACUUAAUGCAUCCAUUUUAAUCAAAGAGCAC